rnacentral:misc_RNA from 1 species
GUACAAGUUUCGCUUCCAUAGCAAACCAGACGUUCCGACACAUGCGAGGCGUUUGUUAAAAGGACGCGGGGCACCCCGGCGAACGAACGCCCAGGGCCCCACGCAGAGGUGCACAGAGGGGUGUGUGAGAGAUGAAGACAGAGACGAGACGAGCACGUUGCCCCCGGAGGGACCAGCUACAACCUCGCUCAAGCUUUCGUUAAUGAUCCUUCCGCAGGUUCACCUACGGAAA